AUUGAACGCUGGCGGCAUGCCUUACACAUGCAAGUCGAACGGCAGCACGGGUGCUUGCACCUGGUGGCGAGUGGCGAACGGGUGAGUAAUACAUCGGAACGUACCUUAUCGUGGGGGAUAACGCAGCGAAAGCUGUGCUAAUACCGCAUACGCCCUGAGGGGGAAAGCGGGGGAUCGAAAGACCUCGUGCGAUUAGAGCGGCCGAUGCCUGAUUAGCUUGUUGGUGGUGUAAAAGCCCACCAAGGCGACGAUCAGUAGCUGGUCUGAGAGGACGAUCAGCCACACUGGGACUGAGACACGGCCCAGACUCCUACGGGAGGCAGCAGUGGGGAAUUUUGGACAAUGGGGGCAACCCUGAUCCAGCAAUGCCGCGUGAGUGAAGAAGGCCUUCGGGUUGUAAAGCUCUUUUGUCAAGGAAGAAACACCGGCUCUAACACAGUCCGGGAAUGACGGUACCUGAAGAAUAAGCACCAGCUAACUACGUGCCAGCAGCCGCCGUAACAC
rnacentral:rRNA from 1 species